AUUGAACGCUGGCGGCAGGCUUAACACAUGCAAGUCGAGCGGAGAGGAGGUGCUUGCACCUUAUCUUAGCGGCGGACGGGUGAGUAAUGCUUAGGAAUCUGCCUAUUAGUGGGGGACAACAUUCCGAAAGGAAUGCUAAUACCGCAUACGUCCUACGGGAGAAAGCAGGGGAUCUUCGGACCUUGCGCUAAUAGAUGAGCCUAAGUCGGAUUAGCUAGUUGGUGGGGUAAAGGCCUACCAAGGCGACGAUCUGUAGCGGGUCUGAGAGGAUGAUCCGCCACCCUGGGACUGAGACACGGCCCAGACUCCUACGGGAGGCAGCAGUGGGGAAUAUUGGACAAUGGGGGAAACCCUGAUCCAGCCAUGCCGCGUGUGUGAAGAAGGCCUUAUGGUUGUAAAGCACUUUAAGCGAGGAGGAGGCUACUGAGACUAAUACUCUUGGAUAGUGGACGUUACUCGCAGAAUAAGCACCGGCUAACUCUGUGCCAGCCGCCGCAGUAA
rnacentral:rRNA from 1 species